rnacentral:rRNA from 1 species
CCAGACUCCUACGGGAGGCAGCAGUGAGGAAUAUUGGUCAAUGGACGAGAGUCUGAACCAGCCAAGUAGCGUGCAGGAUGAUGGCCCUAUGGGUUGUAAACUGCUUUUGUAUGGGGAUAAAGUCAAUCACGUGUGAUUGUUUGCAGGUACCAUACGAAUAAGGACCGGCUAAUUCCGUGCCAGCAGCCGCGGUAAUACGGAAGGUCCGGGCGUUAUCCGGAUUUAUUGGGUUUAAAGGGAGCGUAGGCCGGAGAUUAAGUGUGUUGUGAAAUGUAGACGCUCAACGUCUGACUUGCAGCGCAUACUGGUUUCCUUGAGUACGCACAACGUUGGCGGAAUUCGUCGUGUAGCGGUGAAAUGCUUAGAUAUGACGAAGAACUCCGAUUGCGAAGGCAGCUGACGGGAGCGCAACUGACGCUUAAGCUCGAAGGUGCGGGUAUCGAACAGGAUUAGAUACCCUGGUAGUCCGCACAGUAAACGAUGGAUGCCCGCUGUUGGUACCUGGUAUCAGCGGCUAAGCGAAAGCAUUAAGCAUCCCACCUGGGGAGUACGCCGGCAACGGUGAAACUCAAAGGAAUUGACGGGGGCCCGCACAAG